rnacentral:misc_RNA from 1 species
UCUCCGUAGGUGAACCUGCGGAGGGAUCAUUACUGAGUGAGGGUUCAACCGCCCGACCUCCAACCCUUUGUGAACCAACACUGUUGCUUCGGGGGCGACCCUGCCUUUCGGGCAGUGCGCCCCCGGUGGCCAAUUAUUAAACUCUGCAUCUCUUGCGUCGGAGUCUUAAAGAAAUUUAAACAAAACUUUCAACAACGGAUCUCUUGGUUCUGGCAUCGAUGAAGAACGCAGC